GCUGUUACAGCUCCCAAACCCUACUGGGCAUUCCUAAACCUUGUUGACGGGCUCAAAAUCAGAAUAGCACGAGCAACGAAAACAUGGCUUGGCGCGGGUCUCUCUCAAGGUCUCUCCUCUCAAAUGUAAGAGCUUCCACCGCACGCUCUUCCUCGCCGUCCCUCCCCCGUCUCCGUCCUACUUCGUCAGCUCCUCUUCACGGCCAAUACGCUCUCUCUCGCCGCCUCUUCUCUUCCGACCUUCUCAGGAACGGCGGUUUUCUCGCUUGCACUCAGUCGCUACUGCCUCUGCACAGCGUGGUAGCCGCCACUCGUCUCACGUCGCACAUCGCUGUCGAGGCGCGCACUUGCUGCGAGUUGUCUCAGGGUACUUAAGGUAUUGACUUAUGGACCAGCAUUCUAAGUGCUGGAUGUGUCAUACCAUGGAGCUUGCUGUAGGGUCUUUAGUUGGGGAGCAGAGCUGUAUGCUUUGGGGUCUUCCUUUUUUGUUGCUUCUGGAAAGUAAUUGAGAUUGAUUCCUUUGUCUGUCAUAGAAUCCCUCUUCAACCCCACUUCAAAAUUUCCUGCCUAUCUGACAUAUUUAUUUUCUUAGGGAAAGUGACAAAUGUACAGUUCUGCAAUGUUUAUUAUUUACUGGAGUUUGGUAUCACUGUGCCUUGAUGCUUUGCCUGCAGUACAAUGUUAGAAGAACUAGAUUUGGAUGCUUGGUAACUGGAUAUCUGUGUUUUAAGUGGCACUUAAACCUUUUUAUGGACCAAUAACUCUUUGAGAUUGCAAUUGUAAGCAUGAACAUAUGUUUUCAGAUAAAUAAUUGAAAACUAAAUGGUCUGCUGAUCCAGUUCUGACUCAUCAUUCCAAUAUAUGUGCGGAAGCUUCUUCCUGAAAGCUCCUUCACAGUCACUUUUAGGAGAGAGAGAUUGAACUCAGGACAUACUUUCUUUAUUGUAUUCGGACUUCCUUUGAAUUUCUGGAACUCGAUUCUGAGAAUAAAUGCGAGCUUGCUCGGGGUUGUUAGGGGGUCUAACAGGUUGUUUCCAUAGGCCGCAAUUGCAGUUGUACCUUUAAUUUACUUUUGAUGGCUAUUUCUGCAGAUGAAGUGGUCUUUUUUUUUUUUUCUUUUUGGGGUGGGGGUUGGUGGGCGGUUGGUUGGUACAGGCCUCCAGUAUUUAGAUCAUUUGGAUCACAAUUUGCUGAGAGCUUUGCAAAAUAUUUUCCGACUCAUUUAUUGGUUGGCAGGGAUGCCUGUAUGUUAAUAUUUUGUUCUGAUUAGUCUUAGUAUUAUGUUUAAUUUCACAUAUGUCACACGGCUGCGCAUAUGUGAAUAUAACCGCAAAUACACGCCUCGAGGAUGGGACCUGAUAUCUACGCUGUUCUCAGUGAGUAUGAAUUAAGAGCGUUAGAAUUUUGUGAUUAUGAUUUCCCUCUAGUUCCAGUCUUAAUAUUACGGAAACAGCAUCAUUACAAUGGGAACAGCAAACAAGGGACUAACAUUGUGGCAAGUUGUGAAUAGAGUUGGCCUUUUGCUCGACAGAUGUGUAAGUAGAACCAUGGCGUUCAGGCAAAUAGCAUAAACUGACAUGAGCUGCGCUUCAUAACAAAUCAUGAUUCGGUGGAAACACGUAUCCAAAGAUGAGACGAAAUUAAAUUAUGCCUCUUGCCCCUUCUGAUGCCUUCAGUAUUCCUCCCUUUCUUCUGUCCGCUAAAGCGGUGAUGGCGUCUGUAUAACUCUCUAUGAGCUUCCGUCGCUUGAGCACCCUGUAAUCGAAAUGCCUGCCAAAUUCUUGCAAUUCUGGGAUGGGAAAUCUGCCAGGCAACCAAGACUAUGAACUGAAAACCAAUGAUGACAACGAUGGAGGGAAUGUUAAAGAUGACAGCUUUUGUCGCGAGUGGUUGAGUUUAAGCCUCAAUGUGGACGGGCCCAUCUGUGGUACGGCCAUCAAUAUUCCUCGUGAAAGACGACCACUGGCAGCAAGGUUCUCUCAUGCAUCCUUUGAGGAAGUUUUGUCGUUCACAAGCAUUGGGUGGUCGCCAAAAUGCUCACAAGAGACAAAAGGAAGGCAUUCAAAAGGUACCAAUCCCAGACGAUGAUGGUGCACAAGGCAAGCAGAGAUGGGACGAAGAUGGUGGCCAGAUUUAGUGACUCCUGGCGUUGGUGCGGCAUGGAAACCCAUUGUGCUUGAGGAUGCAAUUAAUUUGUUCUGGCCCUGCAGCUUCCAUACGAUUAAAGCUCCUACAGAGCUCGACCCAAGUCUUGCAUUGUAAAUUUGACACCAUCUAUAACAUGACGCUUUUGUCU